CAGUAGCGCGGUAAUACAGAGGGUGCGAGCGUUAAUCGGAUUUACUGGGCGUAAAGCGUGCGUAGGCGGCUUCUUAAGUCGGAUGUGAAAUCCCUGAGCUUAACUUGGGAAUUGCAUUCGAUACUGGUUAGCUAGAGUGUGGGAGAGGAUGGUAGAAUUCCAGGUGUAGCGGUGAAAUGCGUAGAGAUCUGGAGGAAUACCGAUGGCGAAGGCAGCCAUCUGGCCUAACACUGACGCUGAGGUACGAAAGCAUGGGGAGCAAACAGGAUUAGAUACCCGAGUAGUCCCUGUCUCUUAUACC
rnacentral:rRNA from 1 species